UACGAAGGGGGCUAGCGUUGCUCGGAAUCACUGGGCGUAAAGCGCACGUAGGCGGAUUGUUAAGUCAGGGGUGAAAUCCUGGAGCUCAACUCCAGAACUGCCUUUGAUACUGGCGAUCUCGAGUCCGGGAGAGGUGAGUGGAAUUCCCAGUGUAGAGGUGAAAUUCGUAGAUAUUGGGAAGAACACCGGUGGCGAAGGCGGCGACCUGGUCCGGGACUGACGCUGAGGCGCGAAAGCGUGGGGAGCAAACAGG
rnacentral:rRNA from 1 species